GCCUGGGUGGCUCAGUCAGUUAAGCGCCCGACUUCAGCUCAGGUCAUGAUCUCAUGGUUCGUGGGUUCGAGCCCCACAUUGGGCU
rnacentral:tRNA from 1 species